UACAGAGGUCCCAAGCGUUGUUCGGAUUUACUGGGCGUAAAGGGUGCGCAGGCGGUCGGAUAAGUCGGGUGUGAAAUACCAAGGCUCAACCUUGGAACGGCGCUCGAAACUGUCUGGCUAGAGGAUUGGAAGGGAGAUUGGAAUUCAUGGUGUAGCAGUGAAAUGCGUAGAUAUCAUGAGGAACACCAGUGGCGAAGGCGGAUCUCUGGACAAUUCCUGACGCUCAUGCACGAAAGCCAGGGGAGCAAACGGG
rnacentral:rRNA from 1 species